GAUGAAGAACGUAGCGAAAUGCGAAAAGUAAUGUGAAUUGCAGAAUUCAGUGAAUCAUCGAAUCUUUGAACGCACAUUGCGCCCGCUGGUACUCCGGCGGGCACGCCUGUCCGAGCGUCAUUUCAACCCUCAAGCCCUCCUUCGGGAUGGGCCUGGUGUUGGGGCUCGGCCGCCAUCUCCGGCGGCCGUCCCCUAAAUACAGUGGCGGUCACGUCGCGACUCCUUUGCGUAGUAGAAACACCUCGCUCCGGAUAGCAACCCGGUCCACGCCGUAAAACCCCCAAUUUUCAAUGGUUGACCUCGGAUCAGGUGGGAAUACCCGCUGAACUUAAGCAUAUCAAUAAGCGGAGGA
rnacentral:misc_RNA from 1 species